ACCCAGCUGACGAGUCCCAAAUGGGACGAAACGCGCGUCCUGAAU
rnacentral:hammerhead_ribozyme from 1 species